UCCAAACUCUUUUGAACAAUGAACAUCUUAAAACUGCUGAUAUUUUGAUACUAUUUUGAUGUUUUAAUUGCUGCUUGGUUUAUUAAAAUAUGGUCAAUAUUUUAACAUGACAAACUGCAUAUAAAUCGUGUUAUUUGUCUAUUUUUUGUAACAUAAACUUGCCAAAUAAAGCAUGAUGCCACUAUUUAGAUCUCCAUGUCUAUAUAAAUAUUUCCAUCUUUCAUAUAUUUUUUCACAAUUUUGUAUACAUUUCACACGGUUUUAAAUCCCGCAGCAUCGCGCGGGUACCUUUGCUAGUUAUAUAUAUACUAAAGCUGAAUAAAAUCACUGUUUCUAGACUAUUCAUUCGCAAUAGUGAAAUGACGGUUUUGCCCUCCACUAAACCCUCCCUUUUCAGACCCAAAAAAAAAAAAAAAAAAAAAAAAAAACUCUCUUUUUGUCCUGUCGACUUCCCCUUCGAGUUCAACUCUCUUUUCGUCUUCAUCGCUCUCAUCGUUUCAUCGUCUCAUCGUUCUCAUCCUUUCUUGCGUUCUCAUCUCAUCCUUCUUCAAAAUUGCCUAUUGAGAAGUAAAAAUCGAAGCCAAGCAAGUACAAAUCGAUAAGAGGGGUAAACUUGCCUAUUGAGAAGUAAAAAAAUGUUGGUUCAGCCAUCUUUCCAGUUCCGCUUCAUCCUUCUUCUCAUCGCACGGGUUUAGCUCAGAGGGAUUUCUAGGUUUUGGAAAAAAAAAGGGAGGAAGAUCUAAGGAAAAAGAACUGGAGUAAUCAAUUUGAGAACCCUCAGUCUGCUCAUCAAUUUGAAAACAUUCGCUGAGCUGCUUAAUAAAGCUCCGGUCGAUACACAAGUUGGGAGUUUAGACGCAAAUUCUUCUUUGAAAGACGCUUGUGUGAGGCGAUUCUUUUUUUCAGGCAACUCGAUUCCAAUGACCAGCAAGAAGCGAUUGAAAACAUGCUUGGUCAGUUGUCGUGGAAGGGAAGCGAAGCCUUGAAAGAUGUCACACACUUGAGACUCUCCGAGGAACGCGAGGAGGAUUUUAGGCUCAGAAGAUUCAUAAAGCUGUGUAGUAGAUAUAACGGCCUUUUGUAUAACUAGAUAUAACGGCCUUUUGUAUAACUUCAUAAGUAAUGAAGCUAAGGGCUGGGAUCUAGCCUUUUGUAUAACUUCAUAAGUAAUGAAGCCAAGGGCUGGGAUCUAGAAAGUCUACAUAUGCAGAAGGCAGGUGAAGAAGAGAUGGAAUUAAUCAAGCAGUCCCGCUAUGCUGAAUAUUACUUGGGGCUGUCAAUUAUUUGGUUCAAAGCACGAUGGGCCAGUGAUCCAGAUAGUAAAUUUGGAGAAGGUGAUAGUGAUCCAGAUGGUAAAUUUGGAGAAGGUGAUCAUAUCAUUGAUAAACUCGUCAAUGAGACUGAGGAGGAUAUUCAGCUCGUUAAACUACUUCAAUUCAGUUCCCAGAAUGAUAUUGUGGAACGUAUUCUAGAUAUCUGUCUGGAGACAGAGGAUGAGUUUACUCAAGAAUUUGUAUGUGCGGGUGUCCGGAGCAAGGGGAGGAGUUUGCUCACGAUUUUGUAUAUAUGCUGAAAGUGAAGGAGUGUCUGGAGCCAGAGGAGGAGUUUUCUCUUGAAUUCAUGAAGGUGAAAACUCCAAAUCCAAGAGGAUCAGGAGGAGCAGCAGCCACUCAAGGAGGAGGGCAGGGAGCAAUUACACAAGGAGGCCAGGGGACAAGCCAACAGUAGAUCAUUUGCAGCCACGCACUUCGCAAAGAAGCAGCCUUCAAAUAACACAAUUCGGGAGAUGGAGCAGCACUACUCUUCUUUAUGAGUUUGCCCUGUCUCACCAGCUUGUGCGUUUUAUUUGUUUUUUGUUUUUUUUGAAGGUACUCUUCUUGUUUGUUAUGAGACGAGAUGCAAAAGGCAAGUCUCUGAUUUAUGAAUAAAUGUCUAUUAUGUGUGUU